AGAGGCCAAAGCCCAAGCUGCCAGAAAAACGUCUCCACUCUUCUCCUUCCAGCACCAUGCCUCCUCACUGGAUAGGACUUGGUAGACCCACUUUCUGUCUCUGGAUAUGUAGCUCUUGAUCUUCUGAGCUGCUUGACAGCUAUUUUCAAAGUCGUCUUGAAGGGUCCUUUCGGGAGCGAAAGGAUGCUGCUUUUCACCAGCUCAUAGUAUCAGUGUCUCAGGGCUGCGCUUUGCUGACAACACAGCUUGAUGCAACCUGAGGAUAGGAUGCUGGAUCGGAUUCUGAGAGGCCACCCUGAACCCGUGGGGAUGGUCCAUGUCUGGGUGCCUUGUAGUCUGACAGUCCUGGAACAUCAAUGCAGGCUUUUGAAAAUACCUUAGGAAAGCCACUCUGAGAAGGAAGAGUUUAUUCUGGCCUAUAGUCUGAGGGUGCAGUUUGUCAUGGUGGCUGGAGCUUGAAGCUGCUGGUCACUGUAUCUGCAGUCAGGAAGAAGAGAGAGAAGAUUCGGGGACGCCUUGCUUUCUUUUGUGUGUAGCUGUGGACGCCAUCACAUGGGACCACACUACCUGAAUGUAACCAUAGCCACUCUGAGUUCACUUGUGCAACGGCUGUGGCAUGUUGAGAUGACAGCAUUUUGUGGCCCUCUUACCCAUUCUCUGGCCCUUACAGUCUCUGGUCCCCCUUUUUGCUAUGUUCCCCGAGGUUUGAGGUGGUCGAUGUCAAAAUUUCUAGAAUGUAGAAAGACAAGAGAGAAGACUGCUGCAUGGGACAACCCCAGAAAUCUUUUGGGGUUCUUGCCAGGAUUGUGUACUUGAGUGGUGACCAAUAUGUAUGGAUAAGGAAACUACCUGAGGCUGGGAAGAACCAAACAAAGGAUGGAAGAGGACAAUAGCUGCUGUACACACGGUAACUGUUCCUACUUGCUGGACCUGAGAAACGCAGGAUACUCAGAACACUGAGCCGGAUACUCGGAAAAGCUGUCGUUGCUAGUAGAGUGAGCACUGCUUUUGCCCUAACAAAUAUUCAAAACAAGAUCCCCAGAGAUACUUUUAUAAGUUACACAAUUGUGCCAGAAUAAUAUAAAAAAUAUUUACAGAAUACAAAGAACAAUGCUGAAAUUCUC
rnacentral:lncRNA from 1 species